rnacentral:rRNA from 1 species
AGAGGUCCCAAGCGUUGUUCGGAUUCACUGGGCGUAAAGGGUGCGUAGGUGGUUGCGCAAGUCUGAUGUGAAAUCUCCGGGCUCAACCUGGAAAUGGCAUUGGAAACUGCGUGGCUAGAGGGUUGGAGGGGGGACUGGAAUACUUGGUGUAGCAGUGAAAUGCGUAGAUAUCAAGUGGAACACCAGUGGCGAAGGCGAGUCCCUGGACAACACCUGACACUGAGGCACGAAAGCUAGGGGAGCAAACAGGAUUAGAUACCCUGGUAGUCCUAGCCGUAAACGGUGCUUGCUUGCUGUAAAAGGAAUCGACCCCUUUUGUGGCGAAGCCAACGCGAUAAGCAAGCCGCCUGGGAAGUACGGUCGCAAGAUUA